GAUGAACGCUGGCGGCGUGCCUAAUACAUGCAAGUAGAACGCUGAAGGAAGGAGCUUGCUCUUUCCGGAUGAGUUGCGAACGGGUGAGUAACGCGUAGGUAACCUGCCUGGUAGCGGGGGAUAACUAUUGGAAACGAUAGCUAAUACCGCAUAACAGUAGAUAUUGCAUGAUAUCUGCUUGAAAGGGGCAAUUGCUCCACUACCAGAUGGACCUGCGUUGUAUUAGCUAGUUGGUGAGGUAACGGCUCACCAAGGCGACGAUACAUAGCCGACCUGGGAGGGUGGUCAGCCACACUGGGACUGGGACACGGCCCAGACUCCUACGGGAGGCAGCAGUAGGGAAUCUUCGGCAAUGGACGGAAGUCUUACCGAGCAACGCCGCGGGAGUGAAGAAGGUUUUCGGAUCGUAAAGCUCUGUUGUAAGAGAAGAACGAGUGUGGGAGUGGAAAGUGCACACUGUGACGGUAUCUUACCAGAAAGCGACGGCUAACUACGUG
rnacentral:rRNA from 1 species